GCAGAUCACGUUGAAACACCGGUACUCGUAGGAUCACCGAAGUUAAGCAAAGUUUAUCCUGGUCAGUACUGAGAAGAGUGACCGCCUGGGAAGACUAGGUGCCGUUUG